rnacentral:rRNA from 1 species
GACGAACGCUGGCGGCGUGCUUAACACAUGCAAGUCGAACGGUAAGGCCUUUCGGGGUACACGAGUGGCGAACGGGUGAGUAACACGUGGGUGAUCUGCCCUGCACUUCGGGAUAAGCCCGGGAAACUGGGUCUAAUACCGGAUAGGACUGCGCGGUGCAUGCCGUGUGGGGGAAAGAUUUAUCGGUGCAGGAUGGGCCCGCGGCCUAUCAGCUUGUUGGUGGGGUAAUGCCUACCAAGGCGACGACGGGUAGCCGGCCUGAGAGGGCGACCGGCCACACUGGGCCUGAGGCAGGGCCCAGUCUCCUACGUGAGGCAGCAGUGGGGAGUAUUGCACAAUGGGCGCAAGCCUGAUGCAGCGGCGCCGCGUGCGGAAUGACGGGUUUCGGGUGAUAAACCUCUUUCAGCGGAGACGUAGCGGUAGUGACGGUACCUGCAGAAGAAGCACCGGCCAACCACGUG